rnacentral:rRNA from 1 species
CCUACGGGUGGCAGCAGUGAGGAAUAUUGGUCAAUGGGCGCGAGCCUGAACCAGCCAAGUCGCGUGAGGGAUGACGGCCCUACGGGUUGUAAACCCCUUUUGCCGGGGAGCAACGGGCGCCACGUGUGGCGCCACUGAGAGUACCUGGCGAAAAAGCAUCGGCUAACUCCGUGCCAGCAGCCGCGGUAAUACGGGGGAUGCGAGCGUUAUCCGGAGUUAUUGGGUUAAAAGGGUGCGUAGGCGGAUCGUUAAGUCAGUGGUAAAUUUGAGGGGCUCAACCCCUUCGAGCCGUUGAUACUGGUUUGCUAGAGUGAGUGAGAGGUAUGCGGAAUGCGAGGUGUAGCGGUGAAAUGCAUAGAUAUCACGAAGAACUCCGAUGGCGAAGGCAGCAUACCGGCGCUCAACUGACGCUCAUGCACGAAAGUGUGGGUAGCGAACAGGAUUAGAUACCCCGGUAGUC